CGGACGGGUGAGUAACGCGUGAGGAACCUGCCUCAGAGUGGGGGGAUAACACACCGAAAGGUGUGCUAAUACCGCAUAACAUAUGGGAGGGGCAUCCCUUUCAUAUCAAAGAUUUAUUGCUCUGAGAUGGCCUCGCGUCCAAUUAGCUAGUUGGCGGGGUAACGGCCCACCAAGGCGACGAUUGGUAGCCGGACUGAGAGGUUGAACGGCCACAUUGGGACUGAGACACGGCCCAGACUCCUACGGGAGGCAGCAG
rnacentral:rRNA from 1 species